GGAAUAUUAACAUGACUCUCAUUCCUAUCUAGAACUUGAUGACCUCCACUGCACGAACGCCUCCCAAGAACUGAACGACCUGGACUGCACGACCGCCUCCCAAGAUACUGAUGCCCCGCAAUUGUGUUCAACCAGAGACAACGAUGACAUCAUGGACGAGAACGGGAAUGGAG